AUUUUGAGGCCGCCGAAGAGGAUUUGGAGUCCCCAAGGAGGAAUUUGAGGCUGUUGAAGAGGAAUUUGGAGUCCCCGAGCAGGAUUUGGCAUCCCCGAGUAGGAUUUGGAGUCCCCGAGUAGGAUUUUGAGGCCGCUGAGCAGGAUUUUGGUGGCGUCGAGGAGGAAUUUGGAGUCUCCAAGGAGGAUUUUGAAGCCACCGAGGAGGAUUUUGGGCUCCCCGAGGAGCAUUUGGAGUCCCCAAGGAGGAUUUGGGCUCCCCAAGGAGGAUUUUGGAGUCCCCGAGGAGGAUUUGGAGUCCCCGAGCAGGAUUUGGAGUCCCCAAGGAGGAUUUUGAGGUCCCCGAGGAGGAAUUUGAGGUCCCCG
rnacentral:lncRNA from 1 species